UACGGAGGGUGCAAACGUUGCUCGGAAUCAUUGGGCGUAAAGCGCACGUAGGCGGCCUGUUAAGUCGGGUGUGAAAGCCCUGGGCUCAACCCAGGAAGUGCAUUCGAAACUGGCGGGCUUGAGUAUGGCAGAGGGGGGUGGAAUUCCGCGUGUAGCAGUGAAAUGCGUAGAGAUGCGGAGGAACACCGAUGGCGAAGGCAGCCCCCUGGGCCAAUACUGACGCUCAGGCACGAAAGCGUGGGGAGCAAACAGG
rnacentral:rRNA from 1 species